rnacentral:tRNA from 1 species
GCCAGUGUGGUGUAAUGGUUUGAGCAUUGGACUAUAACUCUGGAGACCAGGGUUCGAAUCCCCACUUGGCCA